GAUGAAGAACGUAGCGAAAUGCGAUAAGUAGUGUGAAUUGCAGAAUUCAGUGAAUCGUCGAAUCUUUGAACGCACAUUGCGCCCUUUGGUAUUCCUUAGGGCAUGCCUGUUCGAGCGUCAUUUAAACCUUCAAGCUCAGCUUGGUGUUGGGUGACUGUCCGCUUCACCGCGGACUCGCCUCAAAAUUAUUGGCGGCCGGUACAUUGGCUUCGAGCGCAGCAGAAACGCGAACUCGGGCCCGUCGUAUUGGCUCCCAGAAGCUAUCUUCACAAUUUUGACCUCGGAUCAGGUAGGGAUACCCGCUGAACUUAAGCAUAUCAAUAAGCGGAGGA
rnacentral:misc_RNA from 1 species